AUGUUAGCCUGGAGAGAGAGGAUAAGGUUGGGUGUGUUGCGUAAAGGAGGAGAUAUCAGAUCAAACUGUGAAAAAUCAAAGACUCCCUUCAUAUCAAUUCUUUUUCUCCUUCACACUUCAACUGUAACAGCAAACUCUGUAGCUGCGCAUACAAUUCCCUCGGUUUUCAACUACCAAUUUCCACCAACACUACGUUCCAAUUUCCUGCUUCCGUUUUGCAAAUUGCUUGCGUUUCUUGGUUUCGUCUGUUUGUAUGGAUAUCCAUCUGACGCGAGGACUUCUAUUUGA
rnacentral:lncRNA from 1 species